AAAAUCCGUCGACUUUAAAAAUCGUGAAAGUCCCUCUAUCCCC
rnacentral:tRNA from 1 species